GGUUAAGCGACUAAGCGUACACGGUGGAUGCCCUGGCAGUCAGAGGCGAUGAAGGACGUGCUAAUCUGCGAUAAGCGUCGGUGAGGUGAUAUGAACCGUUAUAACCGGCGAUUUCCGAAUGGGGAAACCCAGUGUGUUUCGACACACUAUCAUUAACUGAAUCCAUAGGUUAAUGAGGCGAACCGGGGGAACUGAAACAUCUAAGUACCCCGAGGAAAAGAAAUCAACCGAGAUUCCCCCAGUAGCGGCGAGCGAACGGGGAGGAGCCCAGAGCCUGAAUCAGUGUGUGUGUUAGUGGAAGCGUCUGGAAAGGCGCGCGAUACAGGGUGACAGCCCCGUACACAAAAAUGCACAUAUUGUGAGCUCGAUGAGUAGGGCGGGACACGUGGUAUCCUGUCUGAAUAUGGGGGGACCAUCCUCCAAGGCUAAAUACUCCUGACUGACCGAUAGUGAACCAGUACCGUGAGGGAAAGGCGAAAAGAACCCCGGCGAGGGGAGUGAAAAAGAACCUGAAACCGUGUACGUACAAGCAGUGGGAGCCUCUUAAUGGGGUGACUGCGUACCUUUUGUAUAAUGGGUCAGCGACUUAUAUUCUGUAGCAAGGUUAACCGAAUAGGGGAGCCGAAGGGAAACCGAGUCUUAACUGGGCGUUAAGUUGCAGGGUAUAGACCCGAAACCCGGUGAUCUAGCCAUGGGCAGGUUGAAGGUUGGGUAACACUAACUGGAGGACCGAACCGACUAAUGUUGAAAAAUUAGCGGAUGACUUGUGGCUGGGGGUGAAAGGCCAAUCAAACCGGGAGAUAGCUGGUUCUCCCCGAAAGCUAUUUAGGUAGCGCCUCGUGAAUUCAUCUCCGGGGGUAGAGCACUGUUUCGGCAAGGGGGUCAUCCCGACUUACCAACCCGAUGCAAACUGCGAAUACCGGAGAAUGUUAUCACGGGAGACACACGGCGGGUGCUAACGUCCGUCGUGAAGAGGGAAACAACCCAGACCGCCAGCUAAGGUCCCAAAGUCAUGGUUAAGUGGGAAACGAUGUGGGAAGGCCCAGACAGCCAGGAUGUUGGCUUAGAAGCAGCCAUCAUUUAAAGAAAGCGUAAUAGCUCACUGGUCGAGUCGGCCUGCGCGGAAGAUGUAACGGGGCUAAACCAUGCACCGAAGCUGCGG
rnacentral:rRNA from 1 species